rnacentral:misc_RNA from 1 species
AACCUAGCACACCUGCGGUGUGUACCUGCGGAGGGAUCAUUACCGAGUUUACAACUCCCAAACCCAUGUGAACAUACCUAUCGUUGCUUCGGCGGAUCGCCCCGGGCGCCUUGCGUGCCCCGGAUCCAGGCGGCCGCCGGGGGACCUUAACUCUUGUUUUUACUGAGAAUCUUCUGAGUCGUUUUUACAAAUAAAUAAAAACUUUCAACAACGGAUCU